GACCUAAAGACGAUUCCAAGCCCAA
rnacentral:rasiRNA from 1 species